UACGUAGGGUGCGAGCGUUGUCCGGAAUUAUUGGGCGUAAAGGGCUCGUAGGCGGUCUGUCGCGUCGGGAGUGAAAACUCAGGGCUUAACCCUGAGCCUGCUUCCGAUACGGGCAGACUAGAGGUAUGCAGGGGAGAACGGAAUUCCUGGUGUAGCGGUGGAAUGCGCAGAUAUCGGGAGGAACACCGGUGGCGAAGGCGGCGACCUGGGUAGAUACUGACGCUGAGGCGCGAAAGCGUGGGGAGCAAACAGG
rnacentral:rRNA from 1 species